GCACUCGCUUUGGCAGCACAUACACUAAAAUUGGAACAUUGCAGAGAAGAUUAGCAUGGCCCCUGUGAAAGGAUUACAUGCAAAUUUAUGAAAUGUUCCAUAUUUUU